rnacentral:lncRNA from 1 species
GUGAGGCUGAUGACUAUGCAACUCUGCCUCAGUUAAAUCCAAAUCACGUACAAGUGAAGACAUCUAUCACCCCAUUGUCACUGGCCCUCUUUGAAAACAAAGAUGCUGUUAUUAUCCUAAUUUUAUGGAUAAGGAAAUGGAAUCACAGAGUGGUGCCUAAUGAAUGCUCUUUUGAUGGAUUCACACUGGAUUUAAAAAUGGAUGAACCUACAGGACAGGGAAGCCAGGAGGGCUGUAGCUGCAAGGAUCUCCAGAGAGAGACAGGAGGCAACAUAUUUCAGCAAGGCUAAAUUCAUAAGAGAUUCUCCAAGAAUGGUUGCUCCUAGCAACUCCAGAAGAAGAGAGAGAAGAUAAGCAGUUGGGAAAAGUUGAAAGAGACCCAGAAUCAGAGAACAAAGACUACAAGUAUUUGAAGGUCUCCUGCAUUGUGUGGAUUGUGUGUGUCUUUAAUAAUAAAUUUUAUUUUGUCUUCCA